UAAAUAACUACAUAAGAUAAAUAUUACAUAGUAUUCAUGUGAUUCUAAAGGAAUUUUUUAAAUUAAAGUUCCUUUAAUAGGUUAUACUUAAGAGAAAUAUAUGGGCUCACAUGGGUCGUACAAUAGUAUGACAGUGACAUAUGGCAUAUUUCCGUUUAGCAGGGACACCUAUGAGCUGUUAGUUUUAAUAUUAAAGUGAAUUGACUUAUUAUCGAAAUUAGAGAGAAGAACGAUAUUUGUGCAACAUUGAUGCUAUUUGUUCGAUAUUUAAAUUUUUAAGCAAGAUAUUAUAAGCAUUAUUAAACUGUAUGAUUUCACAUACUCAUAUCUCUCU